UGGGUCUUGGGCAUUAUGCCCAUCUUGCC
rnacentral:piRNA from 1 species